rnacentral:rRNA from 1 species
GACAGAGGGUGCAAACGUUGUUCGGAUUCAUUGGGCGUAAAGGGCGCGUAGGCGGGCUGUCCAGUCUGGGGUGAAAUCCCGCGGCUCAACCGCGGAACUGCCUCGGAUACUGACGGCCUCGAGGGGGAUAGGGGCAUGCGGAACUGUAGGUGGAGCGGUGAAAUGCGUUGAUAUCUACAGGAACUCCGGUGGCGAAGGCGGCGUGCUGGAUCCCUUCUGACGCUGAGGCGCGAAAGCCAGGGGAGCAAACGGG